rnacentral:rRNA from 1 species
CAGUAGCCGCGGUAAUACGAAGGGUGCAAGCGUUAAUCGGAAUUACUGGGCGUAAAGCGUGCGUAGGCGGUUAUAUAAGACAGAUGUGAAAUCCCCGGGCUCAACCUGGGACCUGCAUUUGUGACUGUAUAGCUAGAGUACGGUAGAGGGGGAUGGAAUUCCGCGUGUAGCAGUGAAAUGCGUAGAUAUGCGGAGGAACACCGAUGGCGAAGGCAAUCCCCUGGACCUGUACUGACGCUCAUGCACGAAAGCGUGGGGAGCAAACAGGAUUAGAUACCCCGGUAGUCCCUGUCUCUUAUAC